GCAGCAGUGGGGAAUCUUAGACAAUGGGCGCAAGCCUGAUCUAGCCAUGCCGCGUGAGUGAUGAAGGCCUUAGGGUCGUAAAGCUCUUUCGCCAGGGAUGAUAAUGACAGUACCUGGUAAAGAAACCCCGGCUAACUCCGUGCCAGCAGCCGCGGUAAUACGGAGGGGGUUAGCGUUGUUCGGAAUUACUGGGCGUAAAGCGUACGUAGGCGGAUCAGAAAGUUAGAGGUGAAAUCCCAGGGCUCAACCCUGGAACUGCCUUUAAAACUCCUGGUCUAGAGAUCGUGAGAGGUGAGUGGAAUUCCGAGUGUAGAGGUGAAAUUCGUAGAUAUUCGGAGGAACAUCAGUGGCGAAGGCGGCUCACUGGCACGAUACUGACGCUGAGGUACGAAAGUGUGGGGAGCAAACAGGAUUAGAUACCCUGGUAGUCCACACCGUAAACGAUGAAUGCCAGACGUCAGGGGGCUUGCCCUUUGGUGUCACACCUAACGGAUUAAGCAUCCGC
rnacentral:rRNA from 1 species